GACGAACGCUGGCGGCGUGCCUAACACAUGCAAGUCGAACGGUGAAGCGCCUUCCUUUUUGGUGGGUGUGGAUGAGUGGCGAACGGGUGAGUAACACGUGAGUAACCUGCCCCCUUCUUCUGGAUAACCGCAUGAAAGUGUGGCUAAUACGGGAUAUUCUGGGUCUGUCGCAUGAUGGGUCUGGGAAAGUUAUUGUUUCGGUGGGGGAUGGGCUCGCGGCCUAUCAGCUUGUUGGUGGGGUGAUGGCCUACCAAGGCGGUGACGGGUAGCCGGCCUGAGAGGGUGGACGGUCACACUGGGACUGAGACACGGCCCAGACUCCUACGGGAGGCAGCAGUGGGGAAUAUUGCACAAUGGGCGCAAGCCUGAUGCAGCGACGCCGCGUGAGGGAUGGAGGCCUUCGGGUUGUGAACCUCUUUCGCCAGUGAAGCAGGCCUGCCUCGUUUGUGGGUGGGUUGACGGUAGCUGGAUAAGAAGCGCCGGCUAACUACGUG
rnacentral:rRNA from 1 species